rnacentral:lncRNA from 1 species
UAAGUGUAUUGGACUUUUAAGCGUGUGACAUACUCAAACGACUUACGCAGGCUGGAAUAAAGGUCUUCGAAAUGGAUACAUAGAACUAUAUCAUUAUACAAUUCAUGUUCCGUCCCGAAAACAGAUGUAGAUAAUAAUGCAAAGACACAAAUAAAUGUAACAAAGGUCAAUCAAAGCUUCAGGGUGAACUGUUAGUAUAGCUGGGUGAAUGACAUGGCUCUCUCUGAGCCAGUUUCUGUAACUUCGACUUAAAUUUUCAAAGAUAAGAUCAAACAAAUGCAGACACUCCGGAAAGCAUCCCCGCUCAUUCAAAGGACGUGAAUACAGCUCAGUACAAAUACGCACAUCAUCUAGAUCAACGUUAUGGUGCUGACUGACCGAAGUAUACAGUUCCGGCAUACUGAACAUCACUUCAGGUUUUCCAUUUGGGUUUCCAUUUGAAAUGUCGUGUAAAUUCCACUCAAAGGCAAAUUUACAAAAUUCAAUUACAAUAACUGGCAUGAAACAGUAAAGCAAACAUUGUCUAUGAAAAAUAUUUCCAUCACUGUAUAAGCCUGUAGCACUCUCGUCGCUUUAAAGAGAUUUAUCCAAAAUGCACUGACGUCGAAACAUACUCCAUAUCGAUUCGAUCCGUUGACUGGAUGUGCUUUUGCCAACAACAAAGUUUUUGUCCGCUGCAUGGCCAUCGCCAUGUCCUGGUCUGAAAAGUAUUUACAGCUGACGGACAGUGACAUUUUCGGUUCCAUGUUCACUACUAAUUAUUGUUGGCACAAUCCCGCCUAAGCUAGUUGUGGUUUCCAAGAAAUAUUUAGCAAUUACAAAGACGUGGGUCAUUAUUAUUGGUUGCAACCUUAAGCCACAGUAUUUUCCGACUGAAUUCGUCUACAGCCCCAUGUAUGGCAAAACCAAAGGGCUUCAACUUGUCGUAUCCAUCCAUGUGACAUACAAAGUUUGGACCUGGACAUAAAUAUUUCCGCCGAAGAAGUCGCCUUCGUUUCCUUCUUUGCACUCCAUUUGGAUCUGCUAUCCGCAUUAAACGAAUAACCGUAGACCGAUGUACAUUAAAGGAGGUCAAUCACAUUUAACAACAUUUAAUGCCAUUUUUUACUUUUUGUAUAUUCUGGUAGAGAUUUAUUUAAGGAACAAAAAGACCCAUUACAUAGAGUUAGAUUCCUAUUAGAAAUGUAUGUUUUAUUAUUUUUUAUAAAACUUUG